rnacentral:rRNA from 1 species
UGAAUACGAGAUGCUACGGCGUCGAAGCAGUCUAUGUCAUACUUCCAAGAAAAGCUUGCACUGUCAUAAACAAAUAAUGCCUGUACCAUAACCGACACAGGUGGGUAGGUAGAGUAUACUAAGGGGCACGAGAUAACUCUCUCUAAGGAACUCGGCAAAAUGACUCCGUAACUUCGGGAGAAGGAGUGCCUUAUUUAUAAGGUUGCAAUAACAAGAUCCAAGCAACUGUUUACCAAAAACACAGGUCUCCGCUAAGUCGUAAGACGAUGUAUGGGGGCUGACGCCUGCCCAGUGCCAGAAGGUUAAAGAAGUUGGUUAGCAUCCGCGAAGCUGAUAACUGAAGCCCCGGUGAACGGCGGCCGUAACUAUAACGGUCCUAAGGUAGCGAAAUUCCUUGUCGGGUAAGUUCCGACCCGCACGAAAGGCGUAAUGAUUUGGAUACUGUCUCGGAGAGGGGCUCGGUGAAAUAGACUUGUCUGUGAAGAUGCGGACUACCUGCACCAGGACAGAAAGACCCUAUGAAGCUUUACUGUAACCUGAAAUUGAAAUUGGACUUUACUUGCGCAGUAUAGGUGGGAGGCGUUGAGAAUAUUCUUGCGGGAUUAUUGGAGCCAUCAGUGAGAUACCACUCUUGUAAUGUUAGAUUUCUAACUUUGUAUCAUUAUCUGGUCAAAGAACAGUUUCAGGCGGGCAGUUUGACUGGGGCGGUCGCCUCCUAAACGGUAACGGAGGCGCACAAAGGUUUCCUCUGAACGGGUAGAAAUCGUAUCUAGAGUGUAAAGGCAUAAGGAAGCUUGACUGUGAGACCUACAAGUCGAGCAGGGACGAAAGUCGGUCUUAGUGAUCUGACGGUGCUGAGUGGAAAGGCCGUCACUCAACGGAUAAAAGUUACUCUAGGAUAACAGGCUGAUCUCCCCCAAGAGUUCACAUCGACGGGGAGGUUUGGCACCUCGAUGUCGGCUCAUCGCAUCCUGGGGCGGUAGUACGUCCCAAGGGUUGGGCUGUUCGCCCAUGAAAGCGGUACGCGAGCUGGGUUCAGAACGUCGUGAGACAGUUCGGUCCAUAUCCGGUGUAGGCGUUAGAAUAUUGAGAGGAGCCUUCUUUAGUACGAGAGGACCGAGAAGGACAUACCUCUGGUGUACCAGUUAUCGUGCCAACGGUAAACGCUGGGUAGCUAUGUGUGGAGUGGAUAACCGCUGAAAGCAUCUAAGUGGGAAGCCCACCUCAAGAUAAG